rnacentral:rRNA from 1 species
GCAUAUCAAUAAGCGGAGGAAAAGAAACCAACCGGGAUUGCCUCAGUAACGGCGAGUGAAGCGGCAAGAGCUCAAAUUUGAAAUCUGGCCCCCUCGGGGUCCGAGUUGUAAUUUGCAGAGGAUGCUUCAGGAGCGGUCCCCAUCUAAGUGCCCUGGAACGGGCCGUCAUAGAGGGUGAGAAUCCCGUCUGGGAUGGGCGGCCGCGCCCGUGUGAAGCUCCUUCGACGAGUCGAGUUGUUUGGGAAUGCAGCUCUAAGCGGGUGGUAAAUUUCAUCUAAAGCUAAAUACUGGCCGGAGACCGAUAGCGCACAAGUAGAGUGAUCGAAAGAUGAAAAGCACUUUGAAAAGAGAGUUAAACAGCACGUGAAAUUGUUGAAAGGGAAGCGUUGUCCACCAGACUCGCCCGGGGGGGUUCAGCCGGCACGUGUGCCGGUGUACUCCUCUCCGGGCGGGCCAGCAUCGGUUUGGGCGGCUGGUGAAAGGCCCCGGGAAUGUACCACCCUCCGGGGUGUCUUAUAGCCCGGGGUGCCAUACAGCCAGCCUGGACCGAGGCCCGCGCUUCGGCGAGGAUGCUGGCGUAAUGGUGGUCAACGGCCCGUCUUGAAACACGG